rnacentral:other from 2 species
GUGCCUCUAGCGUGUUCGUCAGUGUGACGGGUAUUAUCCUUGAGCCUAAUGACUUACCCAGGGGACCAGACAGCAGUAUCCGUGUGCAUGGCCGCGUUUAGCGGAAAGCCUGACGAUAUCGCCAAGGUUCCCACUUGAACUUCUGGUUCAAGGUCAAUGUCUUACAACGGCACAAUGGAGCGCA